rnacentral:tRNA from 1 species
GGAGGGGUACCGAAGUGGUCAAACGGGACGGACUGUAAAUUCGUUGGCUCAGCCUUCGCAGGUUCAAAUCCUGCCCCCUCCACCA